AAGGUGAAAAAGUACCAGUUCAAUUUUGAACAGAGCAAUGGCAAUAUUUUAUGGAGAGACUGCAAAGUAGUAAAUAAGAAACCAGGUGCUGCUGUUCAACAGACACAGGUUUGAGCCCUGGUAUGAUGUUAAAUAGAAGUGGUGAUGGGGUGUCUCCAACUUGUUGAU
rnacentral:lncRNA from 1 species